GUGUAUCCUGCGAGCACAGAGAUAUCUCCCCGUGUGUGUGACCCUGCUGGUGGUCUGUUAUUUGCAGGAGGACUUUUGCAAUCACCAAGUGCAAAUUGCUCUUUGGAAGAACUCUGAUCUUGGUACAAACCUCUGAAUCUCUCCAGCUUUAGGAUGUAAAGCAAAGCAUCUUUUCCCCAUUUCCUGUUGAGCAUGAGCAGAGAACCUCAACACUGGCAAGAGUAAUUCGACCUGCGGAGAGCCGGUGUGGGGACAGCCAGCAGUUAUCAAGGGACGUGACAUGUGCCACUAAUCCACUGCUCCUCCAGUGCAGGGAACAUGCCUUGUGAGGCAGCACAGCCAGAGCUUCACCCUGGGCACCCCCCAGCCCAACGUGUGCUGUGUGAUCCCAGCUGACAUGAUUUGUGCUCCCGAGAGACGCAAGGCUCAAGGCUCAGGUGCUGUCAGCACUGCUGCUCCCAACGAGGCACACAAGCUCCUGGGAACCAGACCUGGAGUGUGACACCUGGGAGAGGUGCCACCCCGCCCAGCUGUGGCCUUCAGCUCAGUACAGUCAGUGGGGCUGUAGUUCUGAUGCUUGUUGUCUCCUGUCCAGCUCAUCAUGCCUGAGAGGUGAGCAGAGCCAG